AUAAUCUAAAAUUAUAUUAUUAUAAUUUCAUUAAUAUUCCACCUCCACCAUUAGCAACUCGUUCGGUCCUGUACACGCGCAGGCAACAGUCAAUCUCAGCUCACUCGAAGUUCUACAAUUAGUUGUGUAGGUGCCAGUAACCCCAAAUGGAGGCUGGAUUGGUAUCCCUCAGUGCUAGUAAUCUGGUCAUGAUUUUAUGAGUUGGAGAGAAACACAGGAAUUAACGUACAUGACUUAAUUUAUACCAUCAUCAACAUUUCCACAAUUGCUUGGGGUUGUGUUCAGGACAUUUUUACAAAGCCCUUUUUACUGCAGAACAGAGGAGCAGACGGAAACGCCCCUUUACUCAAAGACCUCUAUUGCUGAGACCUUUGUAGUAGCCGGUAAGUGCGAAGAAGUACAUGCUGAUUUUUAAAAGUCAAAAGAAAUAAGUUUUUUUGUUAUAUUAUUCCCCUACAACUUCAUUUGUAGGAGUUCCUUCAGGAACAAGCUGGUAAUAUAGUCUAUGUUAUUGUUAUAUUGAAGCAGUACGAAUGAAGAAUGAUUCAUGAUUCACUGAUGAAGUUUUGAAUUUUGAUGAAAUGAGUUUCAGAUUCA